AUGUCUUCACAUAUAUUGAAGACGAAGCAAACAUGGGUGGCCACCGUCGGCGUGGUGCACAAUCUUCACGACACAGAGAGAUCAUGGAGAGAACAACUUGGAAAAAAUCAUCACCUGUAUCGUGUGUGUGUGUGCGCGGAGAAGCAACGGCAGGACACACCAAAAAUGCAAGUCGAGUUUGUGAACAGCUCACCACACAAACAAAACCUAUCGAUCGAUCACCUCCACAACCACAACAGCAGGAUGGCUACCACCACCAGCUCCGCCGCCCUCCUCAUCGCCCUCGUCGUCCUGGCCGGCCUCGCCGACCUGCAUGUUGUCUCAGCCGACCCGAGGCCCGUUCACACCGCGGAACUCUCGGUGCCGGCAUGGGCGACCGGGCAGCCAAUGACGGCCCCGGAGCUGGAAGGGAUGAUGGAGUGCAUGAUGGGGUGCUGGACGACGGUGAUGGGCUGCGUAUUCGGGUGCGUGGCCAAGCCCCCCGCCGACAUGCCGCUCUGCUGGUUCGCCUGCGACCAGACCUACGUUAUGGGCAUGGUCAAAUGCGCCUUCACGCCCUCGCCGCCGGCACCGGCGCCCCCCAAGCCACCUGCCCCGCCCGCCCGGCCAUAA
rnacentral:rRNA from 1 species